AGCGAACGUUAGCGGCGGGCCUAACACAUGCAAGUCGAACGAGAAUGUAGGCUUCGGUCUACUAGUAAAGUGGCGGACGGGUGCGUAACACGUGGGUAAUCUACCUUCCGGCGGGGGACAACAGUCCGAAAGGAUUGCUAAUACCGCAUACGUCAGCGGCGCCUACGGGCGCUGUUGGGAAAGAUGGCCUCUCCUUGGAAGCUAUCACCGGAAGAUGAGCCCGCGUCCCAUCAGCUAGUUGGUGAGGUAAUGGCUCACCAAGGCUUAGACGGGUAGCUGGUCUGAGAGGAUGAUCAGCCACACUGGGACUGCGACACGGCCCAGACUCCUACGGGAGGCAGCAGUGGGGAAUAUUGGGCAAUGGGCGAAAGCCUGACCCAGCCACGCCGCGUGAGUGAUGAAGGCCUUCGGGUCGUAAAGCUCUGUGGGGAGGGACGAACAAGUCUGGGGCUAAUCACCCGGGCCCUGACGGUACCUCCUUAGCAAGCACCGGCUAACCCUGUGCCAGCCGCCGCCGUAAAAC
rnacentral:rRNA from 1 species